GAAGCGGUAGUUCAGUUGGUUAGACUUGUUAUAAAAAUAUAAGCGGCCUGUCACGCCGGGCUGUGGUUUAUAAAAAUCCGUCCGCUCCGCCA
rnacentral:tRNA from 1 species